ensembl:lncRNA
GUUCCCCUUUAAAAGUCCCAGCACAUGCUAAGAUGCGGCGCUCCUGCAGGCUGGGCUGCGGCACUGGGGAACUCUGCUGAGCUGGGCAGUUCGCGCAGCCCGAGCUGCCCGAGCGUGUCAUUGUGUGCGGGCGGCGGGCGGCCACUGCACCAGCCGCUCAACUUUGCCGCUCGCCCCCUCCGCCUCCCGCCCGCGGCCGAGAGACCCCGGCCCCGGAGGAAGCUCCGCGCGCCCGCUCGGAUCUCCAGAGAGAACAUCGCCUUCCAGCCCCUGGCAAAGGAAAGGAGGAUGCCUUCCAGUUGGAGAGGAGAGAUGGGAAGGGACCCAAAUCUAACAGGCACCAGAGAGAAGAGGCUAGCUGCUGACCCAGAGGGGCUCGACUCGGUGUGGACAUUUGAAGGAAAGACAUCCGACUCUCAGUCUGACCGGCUACCCUUCAUGGACUCGGUUUCCUCCUUCUGCUAAUCGCUAGUCUCUUACAGAAGAUCCCAGAGCACAAGAAGGCGGCAUGGGGAGGCUGGCCGGCCAGCUGUGAGUGUUUCUUUGGCAGUGUCUUAGCUGGUUGUUGUGAGUAAUAGAUGAGGAAGCAAUCAGCAAGUAUACUGCCCUAGAAGUGCUACACGUUGUUAGGCCUGUGAGGAUGGACGAGGCCAGCCUGGGACCCCAUCGUCGGAGACCCGGACCCCGCAGCCUGAGCUCAAGAAGGAACCAUUCGGGUCCCUUAGGUAAGUGCUUUCUGGUGGAGGGUGAGGAAGGCGGCGGAUGUGGGCACUCUCCAGAGAGGUCUCACUCAGCUAGAAGACCGUGGAAAGAACGCUGGACUUGAGGAUGCAGAGGACAUGGAUUCUAAUCCUCUCCUGGGGACUUACCAGGUGUAUGACUUGUUUGAGUAAGUUGUUUCUGUCCCAGACUUCUGUUUUCUGUUCUGUAAAAUGAGCAGGGACCAAAUGGUAUCAAUGUUCCUUCUAGCUCUCAAUCAUGUGGUGCUGAAAGUGUCGAUGAAGAAAUAAAAGGGACAAGGAAGGAAGGAAAGAGGGAGGGGGGGAGGGAGAAAGGGAAAGAAAGGAAGAAAAAAGGAGGAGGGAAGAAAGUAAAAGAAGAAAGAAGGAAGAGAAGAGAGGAAAUGAGGGAGAAAGGAAGGGAAGGAAGGAAGGAGGGAAGAAACCAUUUAUUAAGUUCUUAUGUGAAAAUCACCAUGUUCUACUGGUCAUCUUGCCAUCUGGGGGAGGGGGUGGGGGAAAGAGGGGAAAAAUUGAAACAAGAGGUUUGGCAAUUGUUAAUGCUGUAAAGUUACCCAUACAUAUAACCUGUAAAUAAAAGGCUAUUAAAUAAAAAAAAAAAAAAAAAAAAAAGAAAAUCACCAUGUUAUGCACAGGGCAUACAAAUAGAACCAGCUGAAUGAGAUUUUAAUGCAGUUUGCUUAUAUGUAUGAGACAGUGCAAACAAUGCUGGCUCUGCAAUGAAAGGUCCUAGGUUCAGACCCUGCCUCUCUCAUGCUGAAUUAUCCUUUUCCCUUUGUGUCCCUCAAUUUUUUCAUCUGUAAAAUGAGGGGGUUGGACUGGAUGCCUUCUAGGGUCUCUUAGCUCUAAAGAUCAAUGAAUCUACCAAUUAACAGGCACAUAUUAAGCAUCUACUGUAUACUCAGCACAAUGCUAAUAAGGGCUGCCAAAGGACUAAUGAAAGUGAAACAGUCCCUUAGGGAGCUUACAUUAGACCUGGGGAAAUAUGCACAUAAAUACGUGUAAAAUAAAUACUGGGUAAUUUUGAUCAUAUAAUAGCUAUUGUUACAGUGACGGUGGUGAAGGUACAUAUAAGCAUGUGCUUGGAGUGGACAUAAUCUGGGGCGCGCACACACACACACACACACACACACACACACGGCUUUAUUUCCCACAGGACACAUUCCAAUUGAGGCGAGUAAGGCAGGAAAAUAGUAAUUCCUACGUGGGUGUUGGGAGAAGCAUCAUAAGGUUUUUUUCUCAUUAACUCCAAGCCGGGCCCCGGGCCUGUGACUGGAGAGAAGCAAGCGUUAUUCUCUGCCCCGGUGACCCUUCGUGGGAUAGGCCCUCUCAGGCCUUCCCCAGCAGGGUCAGCCUGGCCACCCUGGGACUCCGGCCUCUGCUUCCUUCCCCGUUUGUGGGGGUCAAUUGAGUUCCAAGGCCUGCUGAGCUGCUAUGACGACAAGGAUAGAGCCUGAGAGCCCAGAGCCGGAGUGUGGGGGCAUCUGGGGAGCUGCUUCAGAGUCGGGGGUCACAAGCCACCCCGGAAACGGGAGGUCACUCUGGUGGGGAUGCAGCCCCUCCAGCCGAGUCUUACAGCCAGUCCCCCAUGGACAUUGCAUCGGAUCCUUCUCCUCCUGCUCCUUUUGUAUCACACCUCAUGGGAAUCAUUGCAAAAGCUGAGCACCCGUGCUGUGUGUCUCAUGAACUCUUGCAGCCAAAAUCCCAUCGAGGGUCCCUGGGGAGUCGCGGCUGGGACGCUGGUUCCGGAUCUCUUUCAGCUCCAAGUCCCUGGCAGAACCCGCUCCCAGACCACACCCAUCCGGCCUGUGAUCCGGACUCGGGGCUCUUUGCCAUUGGUUCCUUUUCAAGCUUUUUGUAUUCUUCCUCCAUCCCAUCACAGCCACGUCCUGGAAUGAUGACGAGGAAAAUGAGAACACACAUUUCUAUAAUGAGGCCAUUCAGUCCAAACCGCUUAUUUUCUGGAAGAGGACAUUGAGACUCAAAGAUAAACAAUGACUGACCCAAAGUCACGCAGCAGAGCCAGGAUUCAAUUGAGGGUCCUAGAUCCAAAGGGGAAAGCAGGCUCAGCAACCUUCUCCUUCAAUGGCUUCAAUUUUUAAAUGAAACCCUGAGAGGUCACAGCAUCACAGAGCUGGAACAGACCUCAGCGUCCUCAUUUUUCACAUUCAACAGAGUCUGAGAAGCAGGAUUUGAAUCCAGAUCUCAGAUUCUGAAGCCACAGCUUUUCCCACUCUCUCCCUGUCCCUUUCUCCAUCCAGAAUCCCCGUUGGAUCCCUACUCUAGUGCAGGUGCUGAGUCCCCAUCCUCUGGGCCAAUACUGGAGAAACCUUCCUGGGCUCUCUCACCUGAAGACAUCAGGAGAUGAGACACUUAGAUUCUCUUCCUAGUUGAAGGAAAUUCAAGGCCAUUGACUUGGAAAAGACUUCACGAAGUCUCCUAGUCCGUUUCUUUCCUUUUUUACAGAAAAAGAGAGAGCUGACAUGACUUAUUCAGUCACAUGAAUCAGAAGUGUUACAUUCAGAAUCUGAACUCAAGCCUUCUUUCCAGCAGACUACACCCCCUCCCCUCCCCAAAGAGCGACAUAGCCCUCAAGUCUAUCAGUAACUUCCUCUGUAACACCAGAGUGUGAAGGGGGACGGGGCGGAGGCGUGGAUACCGUGUUUGGCCAAGCCAGGGCCCUUCCGGAGCCGUUCUGUUUACCCCGAGAGCCUGGAGCCCAGGGCGACUCGGAGAUGGAAUUCCCCUCCGCAAAGCGCAUGCCUUUCCCCACCGGCAGCGAGCCCCCCGGCCCCGUGUCCGGAGCCUGCAGUCGGCUGGAGGUGGGCGUGGGCUGUCACGGACUGGAUGGAAUGCCCAGAAUGUGGGCUGCUGGGACAGGCUCCACUCCAGCCCCCGCCACCGCCGCCGCAGCAGCAUCUUGGGAUCACUGCGGAUGGAGCUCUCUGCAUUUUUCCCAGUUUUAAAUAGGGCUCAGGAAUGUCAGUCCCCACCACACGCCUGCCUUCUGCCCGCCUGCCACCGCCACAUGCAAGGGGCCACAGGCUUUCUAUAGUAACAGGCCCGGCUGAUUGGAAUUCAGGUCAAAAGGUUUGCAAAUAACCUAUUUCUGCUCCCCCCAUCCCGGUCUCUUUUCAUGUUGUUUUUCUCUAUCUGAGAAGAAGGCUGUUGCUUUCCCAGCUUGGUAACAAGAAUGCCAACAAAAAAACUCCAAAAAGAGCCUGGAGGGUUUCUGGGUAACAGGGAGACCGAGCCAAGAGACUUCCUUUGCUUUGACUCAGGUCUUUGCAAAAAUGUUGCUUACUCAGUCUGAAGAGACUUGGACUCACCGGUGGGGACCCCAGAGAAUUUGGGCUGCGUGUCCUGGAGGUUGUAGCCGUACUGCUUUGUUUGGGAAGAAGAAGGAGUGUUGGCUGGGAUGGAGAAGCUCACGCCUGCUUUCUGUGUGACCUGGAGCAGGUCACAAAAACUGUACUUUGUCAAAUGAGUGUGAUGUUUGUCGUGAUGAUUUGGGAAUAGUUUGGUACAAUGAGGUGAUUCAGGCCGGUUCCAAUGGGCUUGUGAUGAAGAGAGCCUUCUACACCCAGAGAGAGAACCAUGGGAACUGAGUGUGGACCACAACAUAGCAUUCUCAUUCUUUUUGUUUUUGCUCGCUUGCAUUUUGUUUUCUUACUCCUUUACUUUCUUUUUCUUGUGCAGUAAGAGAAUUGUAUAAAUAUGUUUACACAUAUUGGAUCUAACAUAUAUUGGAUUGCUUGACAUCUAGGGGAGGGAGUGGGGGGAAGGAGGGGAAAAUCUGAAACACAAGGCUAUGCAAGGGUCACUGUUGUCAAACUAUCCGUGCAUAUGUUUUGGAAAAAAAAAAAGCUUUUAAAAAAAAGAAAAUAAAUAAGCAAGUUUUAUUUUUAACAAUGUUACAGAUUGCUUUUGCAUACAUAUUUGUUACUGCUAUUAUAUCUGUCUAUUUUUGUUAUUAUUAAAUUUAGAAAAAAAGAAUAAAAGAAAAAGCUGCUAUUUUUUUUAAAAAAGAUGAAAAAUGGAAUAGUUUGGUAAUAAUGAAAGUCUUUUUUGGGUAUUAAUUUUGUAAUGUGUAUUGGUCAACCUGCCAUUGAGGGGAGGGGUGGGGGGAAAGAGGGGAAAAAUUGGAACAAAAGGUUUGGCAAUUGUCAAUGCUGUAAAAUUACCCAUGCAUAUAGCUUGUAAAUAAAAAGCUAUUUUGAAAAAAGUUUUGUAAUGAAUGCCUCUUCUAACUCCAGCAGUUGUUAGUAUUACUUAAUUUUAAAAAUAUUUUAAUUUAAAAAUAAUUUUUAUUGCAUGCCUUUUAUUUUUACAUCUGUCAUUUCUGGAUAUAUCCCAGUUUUCCCUACCAAAAUUGACGACUCCCUUAGAAUAAAGAAAAAAUUAAAACAAAAACAACCAGUGUAAUGAUUCUGUUUGAUAAGGUAUGCAGCAUUCUGCCCUGGUAGUUCCCCACCUUUUUGUCAGCAGGAGGCAGGUAUUUGGAGAAUCCAUUAAACCGUGCUUCUGCCGAGCUGGAAAGGAUAGGACAUACCUAGGUGAGUGCCUUAAAGACAAAAUUUUCAGAACAAUAUAGUUGAAGGGGGGGAAAGGAGAGACCUUGAGAAAGGGUUCCAGACCCCAGGACUGGAACAGAAACCCUGGGGUGAUGAGUUUCUGUCUCUACCCAUGAGGCCACAGUCAUGAAAGCCACUAGGAGGGGCUCAAGCUGGGGAAGAGUAGCUUCCUAUUUUAAUAGUUAUGUUGCUACCAUAAGAUUCACAAAGCUCUCUUAAGUACAUUAUCUUGUUUGUUUCUCACAAUCGCAUUAUGAGGUAGGUAUUAUCAUUAUUAUUAUUAUCAUUACAAUUAUUAUCGCAAUCCCCAUUUUAUAGAUAAGGAAACGGGUGGUACAUUGGAUGGAGUGCUAAGCUGGAAGCAGGAACACCUAAAUUCAAAUCCAGCCUCAGAUAAUUAGUAGCCUGGUGACCUUUGUCAAAUCACUUAAUCUCUCUGUUUGCCUCGGCUUGCUCAGCUGUAAAAUGGAGAUCAUAAUUGCACCCCCUCUUGGGUUAUUAUGAGCAUCAAAUGACAUAGUAAUCAUUAAGCACUUAGCAUAGUACCUAGCAUAUAAUAGGUGUUGUAUAAAUGCUAACUAUUCUUAUUUUUUUCCAAUAUUUUUAAUUUUUAUUAUAGCUUUUUAUAUACAAGAUGUAUGCACAGGUAAUUUUUCAACAUUGACCCUUGCAAAAACUUCUGUUCCAACUUUUCUCACCUUCCCCCCAUCCCCUCCCCUAGAUGGCAGGUAGUCCCAAUACAUGUUAAAUCUCUUAAAGUAUAUGUUAAAUACAAUAUGUGUGUACAUAUUUAUACAGUUGCACAUAUUCUUAUUAUUUUAAUAGUAUGUUAUUUUUCCAACUACAUGCAAAGAUACAACAUUGACCUUUGCAAAACCUUGUGUUCCAAAUUUUUCUCCCUUUCUCCUCUCCUCCCCCUUCCCCAAGACAGCAAGCAAUCUGAUACAGGUUAAACAUGUGCAAUUCUUCUAAAUGUAUUUCCAUAUCAUUAUGCUGCACCAGAAAAAUCAGAUCAAAACAGAAAAAACAAAAUAAAAAAAAGCACACAAAAAGUAUAUUUUAUAUACUAUUAUUUGUUUUUACCUUUUUUUAUAUAUUUCUUUUUUUACCUUUUACAUAUAUUGUAUAUUUUUAUAUAUAGUUGGGUCUCCUCCUUCCCCCCUCCAUAAGAACACAAGCUCCAUCUAGGCAAAGAUUGUCUCAUUCCCCACACUUGUAUCCUCAGUGCCUAGGACUAUGCCUGGCCCCUGAUAGGCAAAUAGUAAAUGCUUAUUGAUUGCCUGUAAAAUGGACUGUACUCCAUUCUACUUAUCUCACAUGGUCUGGGUGAAGAGAGCCCUGUCAAGAUUUGAGCCCUGCAGAAAUGCAAGUUGAUAUUAUCAGAUGGUGUCCAGUAACUAGCUGGAAACAAGUCCUCCAUUGUCCCUUUCCUUGACCCAUCUCUCCCAAAUGCAGACGAGGACCAUGGCGGAUCCACAUUAGCGGGACAUUUUCCCACUGUUUAGGUUCAAGCUCUUUUGAAGGCAGGAAUUAUUCUCAUCCUUGUCUUUAUAGCUUUAGAGCCACAUAAUCUCUCAGUUUCCCCAAGAUGAUCCUGUAAAGGAAAAGUUACAGAAGAACUGCUACUGGUCUGUAUUGUGAAAGGAGUUUCUACACUGGGGCUUCCCAAUUCAUGCAAUCAUGGUGUAUACUUUCCUGAGGGGCAGUUGGGUGGUAUAGCAGAUAGAGCACCAUCCCUGGAGUCAGGAAAAUUCAUCUUCAUGAAUUUAAAAAUGGCUUCAGACGCUUUUUAGCUGUGUGACCCUGGCCAAGUUACUUAACUCUGCCUCAGUUUCCUUAUCUGUCAAAUGAUCUAGAGAAGGAAAUGGCAAGCCACUCCAGUAUUUUUGCCAAGAAAACCCCAUAUGGGGUCACAAAGAGUUGAUAUCAAAUGAAAAAUAACUGAACAUGACCCCUCCCAACACAAUUCCCAAUUAAUUAAUGUUUUUAAAAAUUGAAUUGAAUGAAGCACAAAGAAUAAGUCGGAAAGGAGAGUGUAUUUCAUAUAUAGAGUCCAAUCCUAUAGAAAUAUUACAGAAAUAAGUGACUGCCACCAUGUGGUGGUCUUGAGAUACUUCUCAACAAAGCCAGAAUCCAUAUGUUUAGCAUCUAAUUAGGUGGAUUUCAUCAUCUCUGUCCUCUGGCCAGAUACUGCCUUCUUGUAUUUCCUCAAACCUGGCACUCCAUCUCCCGUGUCCGUGAGUAUAACUGAUCACCAAGUAGAGAAUAAUCAUGAUCAUAAUGGCCAGAAUUUAAGUAGUGCCUACAGUGUGCCAGGCACUGAGUUAUAUAAUUAUCUCAUUUGAUCUUCAGGACAACCAUGCAAGGGAGGUAUUAUCAUUUUACAUGUGGGGAAACUGAGGCAAACAGGUUAUGCGACUUGCUCAGGGUCAUACAUCUAGGAAGUAUCUGAGGCUGGAUUUAAAAUCGGGUCUUACUGAUUUCUGGACCACACUCUAGUGUGCUGCCUGUAAGAGACACACUACUAUCCCUGAAAGUUCAGCUCCAGCCUUAUCUUUUACAUCAAGCCUUUCCUUAUUCCAUCUCCCAUCAAAAAAUUCUAACUUGUCUUUAUUUUGCCUGUAUUUAUUAUAUACUUAAUAUGUAUAUAUUGUCUUCCCUGCAAGAACAUAAGCUUUCUGAGGGUAGAGAACAUUUAAUUUUUGCCCUUGAUUCCUAGACCUAGCAUAGUGCCUGUUCCACAUUUAGACAGUGCCUACUAUGUAUAAGAGCCUAACAUCCACCAGCCACUUUUCCAGGAGCUCGAGGUACAAAUAUAAUGAAUUCUUUCAAUUAUUUUCAUAGCUUGUGCCUCAGUUUCUUUACCUGUAACAGGUGAGGGAUUGGACUCCGAGGUCCCUUUCAGAUCCCAUAUGGGGAACUGGGGAUUCAUAGACAACAGUAAACAGCCCCUGCCCUCAAGGGAGAGAAAUCACCCCUUCCCCCCCAAAAAAGGCAGGGUUUCCUCCUUUCCCAAACAAUCUAUAAUAUAAUAAAUCUGUUAAAGAAUUUAGGUAAAAGUUCAGUCAGCAGUUUUUAUUCUUCUCUGACGUAGUCACUUAAAAUAUCAGUCAUUCUGGAGAGGGCAACUAGGUCAUACAGUGGAUAGAGUAUCAGAUCUGGAGUCAGUAAAACCUGAAUUCAAAUUUGGCCUUAAGACACUUCCUAACUGUGUGACUCUGGGCCAGUCGCUUCACCCUGUUUGCCUCAGUUUCCCCAUCUGCAGAAUGAGCUGGAGAAGAAAAUGGCAAACCACUCCAAUAUCUGCCAAGAAAACCCCAAAUAAGGUCAUGAAAAGUAGUAGAAUGACUGAACAACAUCAUCCUGGAAAACCUUUUUCAUAAACCAUUCAGUCUAAUCCAGGGAAGAAUCAGGUUAUGACUUUAAUUAGCUGACAUUGUCCCUCUAAGUUUGAUCAGCAUUCUAAUUCAAUUUUCCAGACCUUAGAGUUGUUUGACCAUAUUUUUCCUGCCGUUUUCCUGCAGCUCCCCAUAUAGGACCUAAAAGGGACCUCAGAGUCCAAUCCCUCACCUGUGCCAGAUAAAGAAAUUGAGGCACAAGCUAUUGAAAAUAAUUGAAAGAAUUCAUUAGAAAGGGGGACAGGAUUUGCUUGGUAUAAAGCAUUUCCUUCCUCUAAGUAUGAGUAAAAACCAGUAAGGUCUUCCUAAUUUUGAUGUCUGGGAAUGACUUGAGACUAGAGAAUAUCUUAUUUCUUAAAUUUUUUAAAAGAGAAAGGAGGGCCUUAGUGCUCCCUCAAGUGUUAUCAGGUAUCACCCAACAAGCUGGUGAGAAUACCAGUCCAGAGUCUUAACCAAAGCUGUCAUUCUCUCCUGGAGUGAACAGAGGUUCACCCAAGACUCUGGCUCAUGCAAAAUCUAGGCCUCCACAUCUGCAGUUUUCCUCUGAUUUCUGCUUAUGCUAAGAGGAACUCUGUCCUGAUAUUAUCCUUUGCUAGAACUGGGCUGGACUCUCCUGCUGGUUUGGGUGGCACCCUUCCCCCACCCACCUCCCACCCCAAAUAUUUCCAUAUCAGGUUUUCAGAAAGCUCUCCUCAAGCCGUUCCAGUCUAACCAGGUUGCAGAUUGCCUGUGAAAAUAUACAAUAGAGCUUCCUUCAGGCGUUGGGCAAAGUGGCUCCCAUGUAUCCCUUGGAGGGGGUGGUCACCCAUGGACGCCCAGGAGGAAAAAAUAAUUUGAGGAAUGGUAGCUCAAAAAUGGCCACCAUGAGCAGAGAUGAAGGCCUGUUGUCUAGGAAACAGGUAACUGACUGUUUUCUAUCUUCAAGGGCCUUCAGCCCAAAGCAUAUGGGCUUGGUGGUUGCCCUUCAUUCUCACAGAGGAACAAAACAACAUCACUAUGUUAGAGUCACAUUAGUGUGUCCGACUGUGGCUGAUCAGAUAAAUAUGAUAUCAUUAUGUUAGAGCCAAAUUAGUGUGUCCAACUAUGGCUGAUCAGACCACGAGGAGCUCAGAGUGCUCUGCCAGAAAUCAGACACAAAUAGUCCCUAUGAACAUUUGGGGGGGUUUCUCUAACUUUGCCCAUCUCAUGUUUUUUCAGAGCUACUUCAGUUCUACUUUGCUCAUAGAACACAACACUUUCUCUGACGAACGUAUACCGUGCUGGGAGAUCCUGUGCCAGUGUCUCCCACGUCAUACAAUCCAUUCUAAAAUUCUUAUGAGAGACCUCUAGAGUGUCCUUGUGUCACUUUUUCUGAACACCUUGUGAGAUACGGGCUUAAAGAGGGGUGCCAUGAAAUUGAAACGAGAUGAUGGAUGCAAAACCUUGACAAAAUUUAAAAUACUUCGUAAUGUCUGGUAUGGUUAGUCUACAAGUAUCAUGCCAUAUUGGUGCUAACUUUAUUCCCAGAGCUUUUUAUUAUAGCAAUCCUGUUAAACUCAAAAAAUGUUUAUAGAGCAAAAAGGGGGCAUUGAUAAAUGUUUAACAAGAGGGGGGAGGUGGGACAUCAUACAAACACUGUCCAUUAUUAUCAUUAAUUGAUUUCUUGUUAGCUACUUAUUAGUCAAAUUUUUAAAUUGUUACUUUAUUAUUGACUCCUAAUUAAAUCCAGACAAGCAACCAAAUGAUAAACCAAGCCCUGCUUUCUAGCAAAUAUGGUUACUGAGGUGUAGAUACUUAAAAAUUCUUAGUCUGCUGAAGAACGGAUCCAACCCUUGCCUCCUAUGUUAGCUACUAGUCCCAGCCCUCAAGGAGUUUACAUUAUACUGGAGAGGGAAGUGCAGAUGUGAAGGGGCUAUAACUUGUACACAGAUGAAGUAUUUGGAUCUUGGACCAGGUGCAACUUCAUUGCUAGAAGGAACUCUACUUUUUCUACCAAUGCUAAGAUCAGGAGGUGUCCUGCUUGGUACAGUCUUUGAAAAAAGUAAAUUUUUAUCUUUUGUUUUUAUCACCUACAUUUUCCCUUUCCCAGGGAAUUAUCCCUUAUAACAAAAAAAAAAAAAGGGGGGGGGGAGGGGUGAUCAGUGUUCAACAAAAUUAACCCAAUAUAUCAACCAAGACUUGACAGUAUGCUAAGUGUUCCAUGCCAAUGGCUCCAAGGCUUUUCAAGAGGAAUGGAUCUUCUCGUUGUGAUAAGGGAGUUUCUAGGUCAACUUUAUUGUCAUCAUUUACUUAAGAUGAAUAGAUAAUGUAACUACUAUAGUCUGCAGAAUCAAGCUGAGAGAUUAACCAUAGUCCUAGUGUUAACUGGUUAGUUCUUUGCAAAUUUACAGCUUGAGACAUCAACUAUAGCUCCAGUGCUAUAGCUGGCUAGUUUCUUAGUUUACUUUUAUAGAAAUCUUCCUCUUUUAAUAUCUGUUCACUGGUCCAUAAAUCAUUACUCUUUAGCUACUCUUUGGGCUCACAUUGUAGCCCUCCUAUAUAUGUAACCAAAAUGUAUAUGAUGCAGCUUAAAACCGCUGCUCAGGGUGUACGCAAUAAUGCUUGUCAAACUCUGAGCACAAUAAAUACGUUUUUGCCAUAUCUCUGUUGUCACUGAUUGUGUGAUUGGUACAAUAUCUUCCAACCGAAUCCUCUGACAAUUUCUGUCAAAAUAGAUAUCUUCUCUGCAAUUUGGGCACUGCCUCCAGUGGUUCUUUCUAUUUAUAUUAAAUCAUUAUGUUUUCCUGGUUCUGCUCAUUUUCCUUUGAUUCAUGUAAAUAUUCCCAGGUUUCUCCAUAGUAAUUUCUUACAGAAAAUGAAUGCAGUUUAGCACUGCAUUCAUGUGUCACAGCUGGUUUAGCUAUUCCCCACAUGGCUAAACAUGGGCUAUUUAAGUAGAUCAGUGGAUAGAGCAAUAGACCCGGAAUUAGGAGGAUCCCCAAAUCACAAGACUUAGCAAGUAUUAGGCACACAGUAGGUGCUAGAUAAAUACUUAUUUCCUAUCCCUUCUGUGAUGGGAGAAAGGCCUUUCUCCUUUAGGUUAGCCCCUCCUGGGGCUUCCUUUGGGGGGAGAGGGGCCCAGACUGGCCAGUUUUCCUUCUCAGUCCUGCUCCUCUGACUUUCCAAACUAAAUCCCCUCCUACUUCAGCUGCCAUUGCUGUGGCCUUAGAAUGGAAGCACCUUGAGGAGAGGGGUUGUCUGAGCCUAGAACAUUACAAAGGCUUGUUGCCCGCCUGCCUGCCUGUCUGGUGGACCCAAGUCUUUGGAAUCACCCAACUCUGGAUUUCUGUUCUCUCCUCUCUAAAGCGAGCUCCUCCCCUCUUCAGUUCUCAAUCUGUGCUCUUAAGGCUGCUAGACCAAAGAUACUGUUGUUAUCUAGGUGACAGUGACAUCUAGUGGUUGUUACAUCACAUGCACAAAACGUUUCCUAUCUGAUGCUGUAAAUGUGGACUAAGAACUGGUGGAAAACAGCCGGUCCAAAUAUAGUGAAUUCAACACUGACGUGCUUUAAGAGGCAGCGGGAGAUGCUCAAAAGACACACAGCCUUGAAACUAGGACCGGCUCCCACCACCUCCUGGCUGUGACCCUCUGAAUAUGCUUAAUUUGCCAGAGCUUUAGCCAACACAGACUAUAAUUUGCAGAGUAGGGUUUGACUUGCAUUAAUAGAAUGGCUUUUGUCACCCUGGAGUUCCAUAUACCAACAAAACCCCAAGUUCAGUUCUAGCCCUACAGUGUGUCAGCCUCUGUCCUAGGUGCUGAGGAUGCAAAUCAUGAAAGAGCCUCGGCUCUCAAGGAGUUUUGCAGAAUAGGGGCUGACCUGCCUUAAUAGAAGGGCCUUUGUCACCCUGGAGUUCCAUAUACAACAAAAUCACAAGUUCACUUCUAGCCCUACAUGUGUCAGCCUCUGUCCUAGGUGCUGAGGAUGCAAAUCAUGAAAGAGCCUCAGCUCUCAAGGAGCUUACAAUCUAUGAUUCCCUUGGUCUUAUGUCCCUUAUAAUGGUUCCUUAAUUUGAUAUGUGGCUCUUUGGCAUUUAACACAGAGAACUCUGAGGCUUACAAAGCCAUAUUAUUUUAUUUGAGCCUCACUACAGUUCCAUGAAGGAAGUGCUACUGGUUUUUUCUGCAUUGUACACAGCAGCCGGGGCUCAUCGAAGUCACAGUAAGUAUCAGAGGCAGGAUUUGAACUCAGGAUUCCCUGUAAGACCAGCACACUUCUCAGUGUGCCAUGCAGAUGAGUAUUCUUAACUUCAGAAACCUCUCCUUCUCUAGAUCCUAACCCAAAAUAGCGUGAGCUUACCAGAAACUUGAUGUAGGUUCUGCUUAGUACUAGGCCUGUUCACUAAAAUGCAAGCUAACUCAGCAGGGACUGUGCAUUAUUCAUCUUUUCAUUUCCUGCCUCUAGGAGGGUGCCUUGCACAUAGAAAGCACUGACUAAAAGGUUUUAGAAUUGGAUUUAUUGAAUGUAAUUUAGAGCAUCUGCAAAAAAUCAUUCCUUUGGAAAGUUAGUGUGGACCUUAGAAUUCCUCUAACCCAACUGUCUCAUUUUACAGAUAAAGAAACUGAGGCUUUCAGAGAGGAAGGAACUUGCCUACGAUCUCACAGGCAGUUAAAUUCAAACUGAGAUCUGAGGGCUGCAAAUCCAAUACUCUUUUCAUUGUAUCAUUUUGAGAAAAUGCAGAGAAAAAAAAUUCAUACUUUCUAUUCUGAUUCAUUUAAUUAUAUAUAUAUAUAUAUAUACAUAUAUGUCUAUCUGAAUAUAUAUAAUAGAUAUACAUAUGUAUAUCUAUAUAUCUCUCUCC